rnacentral:tRNA from 1 species
GUUCUUGUAGUUGAAUUACAACGAUGAUUUUUCAUGUCAUUGGUCGCAGUUAAGUGCUGUGUGGGAACA